GAGGUACACAGGGUCCCUCGGGGGGCCUGAGAGCAGCCAUGAGGAGGCACAGUGAGACAGAUGUGGAAGAGCAGACCCAGGAGCUGAAGACCAUCACUCAGCUCCAGGAGCAGUGUCGGGCACUCCAGAUCCAAGGCGUGAAAGAGAAUACGGACCAGAACAAGGCCACGCUGGCCCUCCUGCGCAGCAACAUCCGCCGCGGGGCCCAGGACUGGGCUUUGGCCAAGAAGUAUGACCAGUGGACCAUCUCCAAGGCCUGUGGGAAAAACUUGCCUUUGCGACUGGCGCACUGCCGCAGCACCAUGGAGGUGGUGCAGGAGAAGCUGCGCAAGUGCGUCUUCGACCGCGUGAACAUGCACAACCUACUGAUCCACCUGGUGCGGCGGCGCGGGCAGAAGCUGGAGAGCAUGCAGCUGGAGCUGGCCAGCCUGCGGAGCCAGCCCGACGCCAGCAAGGAGGAGCUGCGGCUGCUGCAGAUCAUCCGCCAGCUGGAGAACAACAUCGAGAAGACAAUGAUCAAGAUCGUCACCAGCCAGAACAUCCACCUGCUGUAUUUGGACCUGCUGGAUUAUCUGAAGACAGUGCUGGCAGGAUACCCCAUUGAGCUGGACAAGCUGCAGAACCUCGUGGUCAACUACUGCUCAGAGCUAUCGGAUAUGAAGAUCAUGUCCCAAGAUGCCAUGAUGAUCACGGAUGGGGUCAGGAACAUGAGGCAAAGGGAGGCGUCCUUCAUCGAGGAGCGCCGGGCAAGGGAGAACCGGCUCAACCAGCAGAAGAAGCUGAUCGACAAGAUCCACUCGAAGGAGACCAGCGAGAAGUACCGCCGGGGCCAGAUGGACUUGGACUUCCCCUCGAACCUGAUGAGCACAGAGACCCUGAAAUUGAGGAGAAAAGAGACCUCCACAGGAGAAAUGGAAUACCAGGCGGGCGUGACUGCUGUGGUGGAGAAGGUCAAGAGUGCUGUACAGUGCUCUCACGUCUGGGACAUUGCUAGCCGCUUCCUGGCCCAGAGGAACACGGAGGAGAACCUGGAGCUGCAGAUGGAGGACUGUGAGGAGCGGCGGGUGCAGCUGAAGGCCCUGGUGAAGCAGCUGGAGCUGGAGGAGGCCGUGCUCAAGUUCCGCCAGAAGCCUAGCUCCAUCAGGUGCCCCGGGCUUCCGGGGCUGCGGGCCACCCACCCCAGUCUCACGAAGGCCCCGGGCUGCAGCCAGGCUGGGAGCUGGGAGUGUACCCACUGCCAACAAGCCUGUGUGUCCCACAGAGGGGCCAGGGGGCUCCACUUGCACACACCUGAGCUUCCGAGUCCCUGAUUCUGGCACAGCACCCAACUCAGGACUGGGCUCCUGGGUGGCCCACCAUGGCUCUCGGGGCUGUGCCCCUCACUGCUGUGUCCCUAUUGCCUUCUGCAGCUUCAAGUCCGUUGAGAAGAAGAUG
rnacentral:sRNA from 1 species